CAGGGCUACAGAGUGGUUUAAGGCAUAGGCGCAAUGGCUGUGCCCUUCCCGCUCAAAAGCUGCCAGUAUUAAAUCGUCAAAUCUUCAAAUUUGGAGAUAUUAACGAAAACUGCGAGGGAGAAGGUAGAGAUUGAAGAAUUCCGGCGAGGGAAAUGCUCUUCCGCCGUUGAUUAUCGGUACGCUAUUUCUUCUCUUUAAUUGCGGAGAUAGAGAAAAUGUAAAAAGAAAUAAGAACAGUAUUUGUGUUUAUUUUGAAACAAUUCAAAUUUCAAGCCAUACAAGUAGCAAAUCCUUGAUGAUAA